rnacentral:rRNA from 1 species
GACGAACGCUGGCGGCGUGCUUAACACAUGCAAGUCGAACGGAAAGGCCCUGCUUUUGUGGGGUGCUCGAGUGGCGAACGGGUGAGUAACACGUGAGUAACCUGCCCUUGACUUUGGGAUAACUUCAGGAAACUGGGGCUAAUACCGGAUAGGAGCUCCUGCUGCAUGGUGGUGGUUGGAAAGUUUCGGCGGUUGGGGAUGGACUCGCGGCUUAUCAGCUUGUUGGUGGGGUAGUGGCUUACCAAGGCUUUGACGGGUAGCCGGCCUGAGAGGGUGACCGGCCACAUUGGGACUGAGAUACGGCCCAGACUCCUACGGGAGGCAGCAGUGGGGAAUAUUGCACAAUGGGCGGAAGCCUGAUGCAGCAACGCCGCGUGCGGGAUGACGGCCUUCGGGUUGUAAACCGCUUUCGCCUGUGACGAAGAGUGAGUGACGGUAAUGGGUAAAGAAGCACCGGCUAACUACGUG